UACGGAGGGGGCUAGCGUUGUUCGGAAUUACUGGGCGUAAAGCGCACGUAGGCGGCUUUGUAAGUUAGAGGUGAAAGCCCGGGGCUCAACUCCGGAAUUGCCUUUAAGACUGCAUCGCUAGAAUCGUGGAGAGGUGAGUGGAAUUCCGAGUGUAGAGGUGAAAUUCGUAGAUAUUCGGAAGAACACCAGUGGCGAAGGCGACUCACUGGACACGUAUUGACGCUGAGGUGCGAAAGCGUGGGGAGCAAACAGGG
rnacentral:rRNA from 1 species